UACAGAGGUCUCAAGCGUUGUUCGGAUUCAUUGGGCGUAAAGGGUGCGUAGGUGGCGUCGUAAGUCGGGUGUGAAAUUUCGGAGCUUAACUCCGAAACUGCAUUCGAUACUGCGGUGCUUGAGGACUGGAGAGGAGACUGGAAUUUACGGUGUAGCAGUGAAAUGCGUAGAGAUCGUAAGGAAGACCAGUGGCGAAGGCGGGUCUCUGGACAGUUCCUGACAGCUGAGGCACGAAGGCCAGGGGACGCAAACGGG
rnacentral:rRNA from 1 species